ensembl:lncRNA
UUGGUCCACAUCUGUCAUUGCAGAAACUGAACAGCAGUAAUGACACCUGUGUCCAUCUGCUCUGUUUUUUGGAGAGUCUGAAAUCUUGAGCAGGUGAACUUCACCUGAAGCCGAGAGGGUCAAAGGUCACUUCAUCCAUUCACAUGAACAGCGAGCUGCGUCUGUGUAAACCUGACUGGAGUGAAGGAGACACAAUCACCUGUUACACCAAUUACUCAAGCACACAAACCCAAAGUACACAACCUGGGUUGUAAUAAGCCAAGCAAAGUGAACUGAACUUGACAGCCAAUGAUCAUCAUGUAGUUUCAUUGUAUAGAGAGAAAGAUUUCACAUUUCGAUUUGUAUCAAAGUGAAUCUCUGAAGUGUUUGACAUAGUGACAUAGUGACGUGACAUACAGCCAAGUAUGGUGACCCAUACUCAGAAUUUGUGCUCUGCAUUUAACCCAUCCAAAGUGUACACACACACAGUGAACAAACGGACCAACGGAAGUAAAGUGGGGGGGUUUUUUGACUUGGGAUCUAGAUUGUGGGUGGGUGUAUGGCCAGGAAGUUCAUCAUUCGAGUGCAGAUGUGUCAAACACACUGAGCCCAACAACAUGUUUUUAAAAUGGACUACAAACUGUCUUUUAUUUUUGACUUUAAUUUAUCUUCCACACACAGGAGGAUGGAAUGUUUCCUCAGUAAUCAUCGGAGAAACUGUGCAUCUGUCCUGCCACUCACCCCCUAAACACACUUAUUCUUUUGAAAUAGAGUGGACAAAAAAUGGAACAAAUAGUAACACUACUUGUAAAUGGAGGAUAAAUAAAGGUAUUAUAUCUUCCUUAAAUACAUGCGAUCCUCGUUUUACAUUCACCAAAGAGCCUUUCGAAAUUAAUAUAAAAGACGUUCAGCCCAGUGACUCUGGUAUUCACAGCUGUAAAAUGACAAUAAUAGUUCCACCACCAUCACUGGUCUACUUCACAAAUAUGACACUCGAAGUUGUAGUCGGUCCUCAUCUGUCAUUGCAGAAACUGAACAGCAGUAAUGACACCUGUGUCCUUCUGCUCUGCUCUGUGGAGGAUCUGAAGCCUGAGCAGGUGAACUUCACCUGGAGCCGGGGUGAAAGGUCACUUCAUCAAUUCACAUCUUAUGCCAUGAACAGCGAGCUGCGUCUGUGUAAACCUGACUGGAGUGAAGGAGACACAAUCACCUGUUACGCCAAAUACUCAAGCACACAAACCCAAAAAAGUAUACAACUCACCUCAGAGACAACUUCUGACAUAGUUGUUAACGGUGUGCUGUUCCAGCUGCUGACCAUCUCAUGCAGUGCUGCUGCAGGCCUCAUCCUCUGCAUCAUCCUCACAGUAGUUAUUUGCAAAUGCAGAAAGCGAGACGAACAUGGAUCUUUAAUGUUCAACAAUAAAGUCUAUGAGAACUUCAGUUUCGCCAUGUUCCGUCAGAACUCACAGUCCAAUGACAAACCACAGCCAGAAGAGAGUAUUUAUGAGAACUAGAUGCUGCUGCUGCUGCUUAUAUAACCUUUGCUUUAAAGCCAGAUCUGCCCAGUUGUUAUGAAAGCAGUAUGAUAGGCAAAAGUGUGUUAAGUGGUUUUGCUAAGAUGGUGCACUUGGAAUAUGAAGCAAACGGUCACUGCAUUGUUUACAAUCCAUAUUUUUUCAAGUAACUCUUUUCAUUGUGUUUGAGCACUUUAGGUGCACUGAACUAUUAUGUCUGUUAAAUUAAUUUAAUUUAACUAUGAUAAUGAGCAGGGGUCUCAUAUCCAUUUCUCAGAUACAAUGCAAAGGCAUUAUUAUUUUUGUUGUAAGAGUUUUGUUUUUGAUAUGGUAUUUAGACUGACUAUAUUGCAAUAUUACAUUACUUGUAAAUAAGUAAUACAUUAGAAGUCUUUUCAAAGCCUCUUUUCGCACUAUUUCACUUUCUUUAUACUCUGAUCAAAUUUGGGUUGCAAUGAAAAAUGCCAAAAUCAUUUUAGUUCACAUAGUUUGAGCAAAGUUAUCUUCUAUUCUAAGUACAUGCCUAUGGUUUAUUUAAUAAAAAUGUUUAUAUUUAGAAACUUUGGUCUCUU